UUGGUGGGGUAACGGCUCACCAAGGCCACGAUGUCUAGGGGUUCUGAGAGGAAGGUCCCCCACACUGGAACUGAGACACGGUCCAGACUCCUACGGGAGGCAGCAGUGAGGAAUAUUGGACAAUGGUCGGAAGACUGAUCCAGCCAUGCCGCGUGAAGGUUACGGUUCUAUGGAUUUUAAACUUCUUUUGUAUGGAAGCAAUAAGGUGCACGUGUGCAUCGAUGAGAGUACCAUACGAAUAAGCAUCGGCUAACUCCGUGCCAGCAGCCGCGGUAAUACGGAGGAUGCAAGCGUUAUCCGGAUUUAUUGGGUUUAAAGGGUGCGUAGGCGGAUUAAUAAGUCAGCGGUGAAACUCACAGGCUCAACCUGUGCCGUGCCGUUGAAACUGUUUAUCUUGAAUGCGGAUGCUGUGGGAGGAAUGUGUAGUGUAGCGGUGAAAUGCAUAGAUAUUACACAGAACACCGAUUGCGAAGGCAUCUCACAAAGCCGUGAUUGACGCUGAGGCACGAAAGUGUGGGGAUCAAACAGGAUUAGAUACCCUGGUAGUCCACUACUGUAAACGAUGAUAACUCGCUGCCGGCGAUAUAUAGUCGGUGGCCCAGCGAAAGC
rnacentral:rRNA from 1 species